CCUACCUUGAACACAGGGAUAGCUCGGAGAAAUUCGGACUAAUACCUGAUAAAAUCAAAGAGUGGCAUCGAUAGUUGAUCAAAGACGUGAGUUGGGUUAAAGAUGGGCAUGCGUCCCAUUAGUGUAGUUGGAGAGGUAACGGCUCACCAAGGCUAUGAUGGGUAGGGGAUCUGAGAGGAUAUCCCCCCACAUUGGUACUGAGACAGGGACCAAACUCCUACGGGAGGCAGCAGUGAGGAAUAUUGGGCAAUGGACGAGAGUCUGACCCAGCCAUGCCGCGUGCAGGAAGACGGCCUUAUGGGUUGUAAACUGCUUUUAGGCGGGGAAAAAGUUACAUUUGCGAAUGUAUUUGAUGGUACCGCAGGAAUAAGUAUCGGCUAACUCCGUGCCAGCAGCCGCGGUAAUACGGAGGAUGCGAGCGUUAUCCGGAUUUAUUGGGUUUAAAGGGUGCGCAGGCGGCAUUAUAAGUCAGUGGUGAAAGGUAUCGGCUUAACCGAUGAAGUGCCAUUGAUACUGUAAAGCUUGAGUGUAGAUGACGUAGGCGGAAUGUAGCAUGUAGCGGUGAAAUGCAUAGAGAUGCUACAGAACACCGAUAGCGAAGGCAGCUUACGAAGGUACAACUGACGCUCAUGCACGAAAGCGUGGGGAUCAAACAGGAUUAGAUACCCUGGUAGUCCACGCAGUAAACGAUGAUAACU
rnacentral:rRNA from 1 species